CCACAGGGACUCACGAAAGCACUUCAGCUCCACAACAAAGGAGUGAUUUCACUGACUUCAUGACACAUGGCCUCUAGGAUUCUGUGACCAUUCCCAACUGGAGAAUAUAUUAAAUAAAGGAGCACUUGCUUUUUUUUUUGCCAGUUUUAUAAAGAAAAUUUAUUUAUUUUUAAAAAUAGAAAUGGAACCCAAAAUUAGUCUAAAAUGAAUGCAUGCACACAAAAUUGAAAAUACAGAUGUGAACCAAAUCCAAAUAACAGUAUCAUUUUUAUGCUGUUGAAACAGCAUAUUUUGAUGGCUACCUCAUAAGGAAUUUCAUAUUCUGGGGGAAAAGUGAAAUGUUUGAGACCCCCCCUUUUAUCCUCUUAAUACCAAAAGAGCUAGCCAUGAUAUUCUGCUUGCCUGGAGGAACCACAUAUUAAAAGGACGGCAGAGAAUUCAUCACCCUCAUUACUUCUUGUAAGUAUGUUCACGAAAAUAAGGAAUCAAUAUGGUAAAUAAAUUUUAACAGGUUGCUAAAGGCUAGGACGAG
rnacentral:lncRNA from 12 species